CAACGGUCUCGAUGGUAGGAACAAGCAAAAGCUCCUUUAAAUUUCGUCAUUUUUUAUACACAUCCUGUUUAUUUUGUAGUUAAUUGUUAGAUAAGUUAGUAAUUUCGUCAAGUUUUCGUUACAAGGGGUUUCUGUUCCUGCAGUCUUUCAGCGGUGCUGGCGCGUAUGACGAUGCGGACAUGAACAGCACACUACAGUAUACCGCCACCUACUGUACUGUAGUACAAUAACGUCCUUUAAACAUCUAAACAUGUCCUCCAAAAAGGAAAAGGGAAAAAACAUUGGAAAACAAUUUUAGCCUAAGGUUUCCUGUGCUGUUUUGCUCCAUUUUACUGAACAAAAUAAGGCUGAGGUAGCACCAUCCUUGUGGUUAGAGUGAAAGAACGUGACCUGAAGAUAAGAUUUCCAGUUUAAAAAUUUUUUCCUUGUAUUUUUUUUUGUUAAAUGAGGAGCAACCAGUAAGAAAAAACAAAAAGAUAUUUUGAUGUUUGCUUGAGGCACCUUAUUUUUAUGCACAAUCACAAAUGCAGCACAUCAAUCAAUUUCUUCCAACCAGCGAAUCAAGAAAUCUUGGAGUGGAGAAUCAUUCUGAAAGUAGACCAAAUCCAGGACAACAUCACAGCAGUGGUCGGAAAAAUGCAGCAAGCCAAGCUGACUUUCAAAAGAUGAUUCGUUAUCUGUUUCUUCAGAGGGGAGGCAGUUUGGGAGAUGGGAAUUAGGAGGAUGCUACAGUUACACAGGGCGAAUUUCAGCAGCUCAGUUUCAAACUUGCAAG